rnacentral:rRNA from 1 species
ACAGCAGCAGCCGCGGUAAUACGUAGGGUGCAAGCGUUAAUCGGAAUUACUGGGCGUAAAGCGUGCGCAGGCGGUUUGUUAAGACAGAUGUGAAAUCCCCGGGCUCAACCUGGGAACUGCAUUUGUGGCUGGCAAGCUAGAGUAUGGCAGAGGGGGGUGGAAUUCCGCGUGUAGCAGUGAAAUGCGUAGAUAUGCGGAGGAACACCGAUGGCGAAGGCAGCCCCCUGGGCCAAUACUGACGCUCAUGCACGUAAGCGUGGGGAGCAAACAGGAUUAGAGACCCCCGUAGUCCCUGUCUCUUAUAC